CGGGUAGCGGAACACGUACGCAAUCUACCCAGAACUGGUGAAUAGCCCUCCGAAAGGAGGAUUAAUACACCGUAACAUAUUGAAAAGGCAUCUUUUUAAUAUAAAAGCUCCGGCGGUUUUGGAUGAGCGUGCGGCUGAUUAGGUAGUUGGCGGAGUAAUAGCCCACCAAGCCUACGAUCAGUAACUGGUGUGAGAGCACGACCAGUCACACGGGCACUGAGACACGGGCCCG
rnacentral:rRNA from 1 species